UACAGUGGCGUACGGGUGAGUAACACGUGGGGGAUCUACCUUUUGGUGGGGAAUAACUCUGGGAAACCGGAGCUAAUACCGCAUAGACCUUGAAAGAGGGAAAGCAGCAAUGCGCCGGGAGAGGGCCCCGCGGCCGAUUAGCUAGUUGGUGAGGUAACGGCUCACCAAGGCGAAGAUCGGUAGCCGGCCUGAGAGGGCACACGGCCACACUGGCACUGAAACACGGGCCAG
rnacentral:rRNA from 1 species